UACGUAGGGGGCGAGCGUUGUCCGGAAUUACUGGGCGUAAAGCGCGCGUAGGUGGCUUGUUAAGACCGAUGUGAAAUCUCCGCGCUUACCGUGGAGAGGUCGUUGGUGACUGGCAGGCUUGGGUUUGGCAGAGGUGAGUGGAAUUCCGGGUGGAGCGGUGAAAUGCGUAGAGAUCCGGAGGAACACCAGUGGCGAAGGCGGCUCACUGGGCCAACACCGACGCUGAGGCGCGAAAGCGUGGGGAGCGAACCGGAUUAGAUACCCGGGUAGUCCACGCCCUAAACGAUGGGUACUAGGCGUGCGGGGUAUCGACCCCCUGCGUGCCGAAGCUAACGUGAGAAGUACCCCGCCUGGGGAGUACGGCCGCAAGGUUG
rnacentral:rRNA from 1 species